UGGGGGAUAUUGCACAAUGGGCGAAAGCCUGAUGCAGCGACGCCGCGUGGGGGAUGAAGGCCUUCGGGUUGUAAACUUCUUUUGCUCUGAACAAGGCGCACCAUGGGGUGUGUUGAGUGUAGGGGUUGAUUAGCGCCGGCUAACUACGUUCCAGCAGCCGCGGUAAUACGUAGGGCGCGAGCGUUGUCCGGAAUUAUUGGGCGUAAAGGGCUUGUAGGUGGCUGGUUGCGUCUGUCGUGAAAGCUCAUGGCUUAACUGUGGGUUUGCGGUGGGUACGGGCUGGCUUGAGUGCAGUAGGGGAGGCUGGAAUUCCUGGUGUAGCGGUGGAAUGCGCAGAUAGCAGGAGGAAUACCGGUGGCGAAGGCGGGUCUCUGGGCUGUUACUGACACUGAGGAGCGAAAGCAUGGGGAGAGAACAGG
rnacentral:rRNA from 1 species